UCUACCUGAAGAUUCAUAUAGAAUCUCUCAAGGGACACCGAAUAACUAAAACAAUCUUGAAAAAUAAGAACAAAAUUAAAGGUCUCACACUUUCCAAUUUCAAAACUUACUACUACUUACUUGGGUGUGGCUUAAGGAUAGACAUACAGAUCAAUGGAAUAGAAUCAAGAGCUCAGAAAUAAAUUCUCGAAUCAUAUGAUUUGAUUAAAUGAUUUUCAAAAUGGUGCCAAGAUCACUCAGUAGGGGAAAGGACAGUCUUUAAACAGAUGGUAUUAGGAACAUUGGAUGUCCGUAUGUGAAAGAAUGAAGUUGGACUCUUACCUAACACCAUAUAUAAAAAUUAACUCAAAAUGGAUCAAAGACCUAAACCCAUAAAAGUUGAGAAGAAAAUAUAGGAGAAAAGCCUUAUGAUCUGGACUUGGCAAUGAUUUCAUGGGUAUGACACCAAAAGAGCAGAUAAUAAAAAUAAAAGUAGAUAUAUCGGGCUACAUCAAAAUUUAAAACUUUUGGCCUGGCGUGGUGGCUCACACCUGUAAUCCCAGCACUUUGGGAGGCCAAGGUGGGUAGAUCGCUUUAGCUCAGGAGUUCAAGAUCAGCCUGGCCAACAUGGUGAAAACUCAUCUCUACAAAAAAAGAAAAAAAAAUUAGUCAGGCAUGGCCGUGUGCACCUGUAGUCCCAGUUACUCAAGAGGCUGAGGUGGGAGGAGCACCUGAGCCCAGGAGGUCGAGGCUGCAGUGGGCCAUGAUCACGCCACUGCACUCCAGCCUGGGUGACAGAGUGAGACCCUGUAUUAAAAUUUUUUUUUUCAAACUUUGGUGCAUUCAACGAUCACAAUCAAUAGAGUAAAAAGGCAAUCCAAAGAAUGGGAAAAAUUGUUUGCAAAUCAUAUGUCUGAUAAGGGAUCUAUAUCCAGAAUACAGAAAGAAGUACAAGUCAACAACAAGAAGUCAAACAACCCAAGUUUAAAAUAGGCAAAGGACUUCAAUAGACAUUUCUUCAAAGAUGUACAAAGGGCCAAUAAGCACAUAAUAAGUUGCUCAACAUUAGGGAAAUGCAAAUCAAAAUCACAAUGAGAUACCAUCUCACACCCAUUAGGAUGGCUGUUAUCAAGCAAAUGGAAAAUAACAAGUAUUGGCAAGGAUGUGGAGAAAUUGGAAUCUUUGUGCAUUGCUUGUGAGAAUACAAAACGGUGCAGCCACUGUGGAAGACAUUCUGGCAAUUCCUCAAAAAAUAAAACAUAGAAUAACCC
rnacentral:lncRNA from 1 species